CCCCGGCGCCACAAGUGGCAAUCACGUUUAUUGGGCCUAAAGCAUCCGUAGCCGAUUUCGUAAGUUUUUUGUGAAAUCGUCAUACUUAACAUGACGGCGAGCAAGGAAGACUGCGAAGUUAGAGACCGGGAGAAGGUAAGGGUAUUCCUUGGGGAGCGGUAAAAUGUGAUAAUCCUUGGAAGACCACCGAUGGCGAAGGCAUUUACCUAGAACGGGUCUGACGGUGAGGGAUGAAAGCUGGGGGAGCGAUCCG
rnacentral:rRNA from 1 species